rnacentral:rRNA from 1 species
AACGAACGCUGGCGGCAUGCCUAACACAUGCAAGUCGAACGAGACCUUCGGGUCUAGUGGCGCACGGGUGCGUAACGCGUGGGAACCUGCCCUUAGGUUCGGAAUAACUCCCCGAAAGGGGUGCUAAUACCGGAUAAAGUCUUCGGACCAAAGAUUUAUCGCCUUUGGAUGGGCCCGCGUUGGAUGAGAUGGUUGGUAGGGUAAAAGCCUACCAAGGCGACGAGCCGUAGCUGGUCAGAGAGGAUGAUCGGCCACACUGGGACUGAGACACGGCCCAGACGCAGACGGGAGGCAGCAGGGGGGAAGCAACCGCAGGGGGAGAAAGCCGGACGGAGCAACGCCGGGUGAGGGAUGACGGCCUUCGGUUUGUAAAACUCUGUGAGCCGGGACGAAAAGGCAGAGAGCGAAGAACAAACUGCAUUGACGGUACCGGAAAAGCAAGCCACGGCUAACUACGUG